ensembl:lncRNA
AGUACACCCCCCAAUCCAUAACUACUUGCAUCCGCUGACACCGCCGUGGGCUUGCUCAAGUCAUAGAAAGGAGCUCGUACAGCGGCUGUCCCACCGUUGAGAGUUCGGGGACGUAUCUUCCGAGAUAAUUUACCAUUCCCUACGGCCUGUUGAGAAGGUCAUUUACAGUAUGUCCACGGAUGACAUAUGCUGUGAGUGGGUGAGUCUUUCCUUUGUAGGUCACAGUGCUCCGGACCUGUCCUAUGCACUGCAGUUCACCGCCUGGGCUGUCGAAUGGCAUAUCUGCAGGCUCCAGUGGUCUUUUGGGGAAAAGUGAGGGGUAAGACUCUUCAUGGAUGAUGCUAACAUCCGCCCUUGUGUCAAUUUGAAGUCAAUUGGUGUAGAGCCCACCAUUACAUCACAUCACAUGUCAUUUAUCUGACGCUUUUAUCCAAAGCGACUUACAAUAAGUGCAUUUCAACCAUAAGGACACAAACUCAGAACAAGAAGAACAAGAAACAAGAAAGUGC